UAUUAGGUUGGUGCAAAAGUAAUUGCGGGUUUUGCCAUUACUUUCAAUGGCAAGAACCACAAUUACUUUUGCACCAAUGUAAUA
ensembl:miRNA